rnacentral:lncRNA from 1 species
GCGUUACAUUCUUCCCCCAUCCUUACGCCCCGAGCGAACCCUGUGUGACACAUGCUUGCCCGUUGUGGAUCUAUCCUUUCUGCAACACCCUCUUCUUCGGCCUCAGAUAAUCCAGCAAGUACACCUGGCUUGCAAGGAACUAGGUUUCUUCCAGGUACCCUACUUGUCGUGUUACGUCCAUGUCACCUGCAAUCACGCACUAAAAUAAGAUAGUCUUGCCCUAUUUAUUUACUUCAGUAUACAUAAAGUUCCUCAAGAUAGGAUCCAGUGAAUAAUAUUCACACACCAAGUAAAAAGAUGUUAGAUCAUCCGCAUAUAGAAAAAGCAUUUGCAAAUCAAGAAGAAGAAAGAACUUCAUGUCAUGCACAUGGUAGGGUUCUAGGCUUCAACUCCUCUGUCUUCUCUCUUCCCUUUAUUUUCAAAUUUUUUAAAACAAGUGUCCAAGAAUUCAGCUACUUUAGGUUGUCUAACAGGAAGGAAAUACAACAUCCUUCAUAAUUUCAACCUGAACAUUAAAUAACAACAUGCAUGUGAUAAAUGACUUUGCAGGUAGUUAACCAUGGAAUCCCAUUGUCAGUCAUGAAAGAUGCCAUAGAUGCUGCGAGCGAAUUCUUCGAUUUACCAACUGAAGAGAAAAAGCAUCUCUUGUCUUCAAAUGUUCAUGAACCCAUAAGAUAUGGUACUAGUCUAAAUCAUGUCAAAGACAAAGUACACUUUUGGAGAGACUUCCUCAAGCACUACGCUAAUCCAAUCUCAACUUGGAUUGACCUGUGGCCAUCAAAUCCCACAUGUUACAAGUAAGUCUCUCAUUUUCCUUUGCAAUAUGCUUUUGCUAUCUUAUAGAUGCAUAUUCUUACUGUUCAAGAACGAUAUAAUUUUUUCAAGUGCCUAAAGCAGCUUAUCAUGCAGGGAGAAAAUGGGAAAUUACACAAAGGCAGCGCAAAAGUUGCAAGAAGAACUCAUGGAAGUGAUAUUUGAGAGCUUAGGACUAAACCCUAGUUACUUACAUGAAGACAUUGCAGAAGGCUCUCAGGUCAUGGCCGUUAAUUGCUAUCCAGCAUGUCCUGAGCCAGAUCUUACACUGGGAUUGCCACCACACACAGAUUAUGGUAUGCUAUCCAUCAUUCUUCAAAAUCAUCAGGGCUUGCAAAUCAUGGACCGAGAUGAAAAGUGGCAUGCAGUUCCAGUCAUUGAAGGAGCUCUCAUUGUUCAGCUGGGAGAUCACAUGGAAGUAUUGAGCAAUGGCAGAUACAAAAGCGUUCUCCACCGAGCAGCAGUUAACUCAGAACAAAAGCGCAUUUCAAUUGCCAGCCUUCAUAGUCUAGCUUUAGGUAAAAAAGUUAGACCUGCACCAGACCUUGUCAAUGAACAACAUAUCUUGUCCUACAAUGAAGGAAGUUUCAGUGAUUUCCUUGACUUCAUUUCUCAAGAAGAUAUCAUCAAAGGAAAGUACAUAGACAAACUAAAAAUAAAGUCAUGAUGAUUAUGGUCCCUGAGAGAGCAUAUGUGAAAUCUCUUCUUCACACUCAAACUCCAUGCUGCACAACCUCUGUGUUUGUACUUGUUUAAAUGCACAAUCAAAUUAUCAGUACCUAUUUUUCCUAUGAGUCAAUCUAAUAUCAAUGGUGAGAGGCUCUUCAUUCUUCACGUAAGAGACCUCACUGUGACAAAUAAAUUAUGGGACAAAGUUUACCAGUCUAUUUAUUUUUAAGUAGGAU